rnacentral:pre_miRNA from 1 species
UCAUUUUUGUGAUUUUUGCAAUUGUAUUAAAGAUUUUAAUUGCAUAGUCACAAAAGUGAUG